rnacentral:rRNA from 1 species
UACGGAGGGUGCAAGCGUUAUCCGGAUUCACUGGGUUUAAAGGGUGCGUAGGCGGGUAAGUAAGUCCGUGGUGAAAUCUCUGAGCUUAACUCAGAAACUGCCGUGGAUACUAUUUGCCUUGAAUAUUGUGGAGGUGAGCGGAAUAUGUCAUGUAGCGGUGAAAUGCUUAGAUAUGACAUAGAACACCAAUUGCGAAGGCAGCUCACUACACAAUCAUUGACGCUGAGGCACGAAAAGCGUGGGGAGUCAAACAGGA